AUAAAACCAUACAUUGUGCAUCUCAAACCAUACCAAAAUACUGUGAGAAAACUGAGUCACAACUGUAUCAAAACAUAUCUAAGAAAACUGUAUCAACUCCCAGGACAAAAACUGAAGCUGUGGUGUGUGCGAUGCCAUCAUCCCAAGCUCUUCCCUUUACUUGCGGAAGUACCUGAAACCAAAACUGAAACUGUAAGCACGAAGCUUAGUGAGCUCCCCCAAACUACCACAUACCAUACAAUACAUAUAAGCACAUACUGGGCCUUGCCCACUGCAUCGGACCGAAGUCCGGAACUAGCUGCAUCGGACCGAAGUCCGGAACUGACUGCAUCGGACCGAAGUCCGAAACUACUGAUCAUAGCAUAGCAUAACACAUAUCAACUAACAUAACACAUAUACUGCAUACUGCGUCGGACCGUAGUCCAGAACAUAUAANCCUUUACUUGCGGAAGUACCUGAAACCAAAACUGAAACUGUAAGCACGAAGCUUAGUGAGCUCCCCCAAACUACCACAUACCAUACAAUACAUAUAAGCACAUACUGGGCCUUGCCCACUGCAUCGGACCGAAGUCCGGAACUAGCUGCAUCGGACCGAAGUCCGGAACUGACUGCAUCGGACCGAAGUCCG
rnacentral:lncRNA from 1 species